GUGGUGGUGGUGGUUCAUGUUGUAGUGUUUUUUUUUUUUUAUUAUUAUUAUUAUUAUUCAUAUUAUAACCACUGAAGUCUUUUGGUGUUGGUGGUAGUAGUAGUAGUAGUAGUAGUAGUAGUAGUAGUAGUGGUUGUUAUUGUUGCAGUAUAAGUACCGAUAGCAGUAAUAGUACCGUAACAUUUGCUUAACUUGUAGAGUGUAAUUGUAAUAUAAGUAUAGUAGUAGUAGUAGUAGUAGUAGUAGUACCAACAGCAGUAGUAGCGUUUUCAACAAUAUAUUAAUAUAUCAUAACUUUCUGCAUAACUUUUAGUGCGUAGUAGACUAAUAGUAGUAGUAGUAGUAGUAGUAGCAGGAGCAGCAACAGCAGCAGCAGUGGUCUCAUCAUUAACAAUAAUAGCAAUGUUUCCAGUAUCAUUAUCUCCUAUCACUUGAACUUUUUUAUGGCUAACAUUUAAAAUUGUAAGAAUAAUCUCCAUAUAAGGUAUUCUGUGUUAUGUGAUUCACCUGCGACGUCACUGGUUCCUGGUGACUGGUCGGCGUUUAGGGAAGCACGGCUGAUGACUGGCCAAAAGACACGUCAGCUUAUUGGAUGGCGUCACCUCGCCUGUUUCCUUGUUGUUUUUCCUGACAUUUUAUCUUUCUUUGCUUUUUUUUAGUUGAGCAUCCUGGAAAUGUGUGUGUGUGUGUGUGUGUGUGUGUGCUGAAGUGCCUAAAUCAAGGAAGUGCUAUCACCACCGCCACCACAACCAUCGUCACAGGCACUACUACUACUACUACUACUACUACUACUACUACUACUACUACUACUACUACUACUACUACACAUCACUCACUUAUGUAAGAUUUCGGAAGAGGAGGAGUAAGAGGAAGAAGAGGAGAAGGAGAUGAAUUUUUUGAAAGACGUGUUUCAAGGAAGGGAAAAUGUUUGUCUACGUGACGAGGAGGCACUGCAACAACACCAAAUUAUAAGGGUAAAAAAAAAAGUUUCGUAUAUUUUUUUUUCUCUGCUUUUAAACAAAUUGAUAAAAAUAAAAUGAGAGCAAAACUAUAAAUACUUAAACAUUAGAAGGAAAAACUAAACAAGACCAUAAAAAAAAAUGUAAAUGAAUGAAAAAAAAAUGUUAGGAAAAUAAAACUGUCAUUUUAAUUAUCCACUGCUUUGUCAUCUCGUUAAAAAAAAAAUGCAAAUAAGCAGGAAAAAUAUUAGGAAAAGAGGCUGAAGAGAACAUAAUAAUUACAUAUUGUUUUGUUAUCGCAUGAAAAAAAAAAAAAAACAAGAAAAUUAAAAGGCUAACAAAACGUAGACGAUAAGAUGAACACACACAUAUAUAAAAAUGCUGUCAAAAAUAAAUAAAUAAAUCAAAUAAAUAAAAUCCAAAACGACAUUAUACAUAACAGUUGCUUUGUCAUCCCGUUAAGAACGCAGAUGAACACAAACAACAAAGCUAACGAGACGGAGAUGAUCACUGAGGCAAAGCUCCUUCCAGUUCAUUUCAUUUGUUUAUCAGCUUCACCAAUUCUCUCCCAGAUCUCCAUUCUUCUCAUUCGUCUAUCUCCCCUGAAUCUUCCCCUCCCCUUUACCCUUCAAUUCCUCCCCCUCUUACCUCCAUAAUCUCCCCUCCCUCGUCUCCCCUGCCCAUUUCCCCUCACUUUCCUCCCCUAAUCCCUCCAUUCACCUCUAUCCCCCUCUCCCUUUAAUCUCCCUUACUCUUCCCCCUUCCCUUCCUACUCUCUAUCCCUCCUCUCUCUCUCUCCUCCCUCCCCAUCCUCCCUCCCUGCUUUCUCACCCCUACCAUCAAAACUCCCGGUCAAGAUAACUCACCUGGCUACCUCUAAUUGGGCGCAGGUUGGGGAAAAAGUGACCCCAUUGAUCAGGAGGAGGAAGAGGUGGAGGAGGAGGAGGAGGAAGAGGAGGAGGAGGAGGAGGAGGAGAGAGAGAGAGCUUCAUCAGCGGUAAUGACAGAAGUGGUGAGGUGUGAGUAUCUUCAUUUUACCGCGAGUUUCUGCGAGUUAUGAGGGAGAGAGAGUGAGAGGGAGUGUAAGAGAGAGAAAGAGAGCUGGGGGGAGGGGUUGGGAGUCGUAGUAGUAGUAGUAGUAGUAGUAGUAGUAGUAGUAGUAGUAGUGGUAGUAGUAGUUUUUUUUUGUAGGGGAAGAAGAGGAAGUAGGAUUAACAGCAUAGUAAUAGUAGAUAUUAUUGUUAGAGAAGGAAAGUAGUAGUAAUAGUAGUAGUAGUAGUAGUAGUAGUAGUAGUAGUAGUAGAACCAUUAACACCAACGAAAAUAUAAAAACGUCAAACGGAACUAAUAACUUAAAGAUGAAGCUGUUUUUCAACCCUCCUCCUCCUCCUCCUCCUCCUCCUCCUCCUCCUCCUCCUCCUCCUCUUCGCCACACAAACAGGAAGCAGCGCCCACACCUUUACCUGUCAGACGCACCACCGCCGGAAGAGGUAAUGAUUGGCGGAGAAGCGACACC